rnacentral:rRNA from 1 species
UACGUAGGGGGCAAGCGUUGUCCGGAUUUAUUGGGCGUAAAGAGCGUGUAGGCGGCCAAACAGGUCAGCUGUGAAAACUCGAGGCUCAACCUCGAGACGUCGGUUGAAACCGUUUGGCUAGAGUCCGGAAGAGGAGAGUGGAAUUCCCGGUGUAGCGGUGAAAUGCGCAGAUAUCGGGAGGAACACCGGUGGCGAAGGCGGUUCUCUGGGCCUUACCUGACGCUGAGGAGCGAAAGCGUGGGGAGCGAACAGG